rnacentral:rRNA from 1 species
CCUACGGGGUGCAGCAGUGAGGAAUAUUGGUCAAUGGGCGCGAGCCUGAACCAGCCAAGUAGCGUGAAGGAUGACUGCCCUACGGGUCGUAAACCGCUUUUGCACGGGGAUAACACCCUCCACUUGUGGAGGUCUGCAGGUACCGUGCGAAUAAGGGCCGGCUAAUUCCGUGCCAGCAGCCGCGGUAAUACGGAAGGCCCGAGCGUUAUCCGGAUUCAGUGGGCUUAAAGGGAGCGUAGGCGGGCGUUCAAGUCAGCUGUAAAAUCGCGCGGCUCAACCGCGCCCCGCAGUUGAAACUGGACGCCUUGAGUUCACAACAGGCAGGCGGAAUUCGUGGUGUAGCGGUGAAAUGCAUAGAUAUCACGAGGAACCCCGAUUGCGAAGGCAGCCUGCCGGGGUGCGACUGACGCUGAGGCUCGAAGGUGCGGGUAUCAAACAGGAUUAGAUACCCCUAGUAGUC